rnacentral:lncRNA from 1 species
GGCCGGCCAAAGCAUGAAGUGAAGAGGAAAGGAAAGAACACAAACCCUAGGUGAGAAAAUUGAAGAAAAAGUGUGGGAUUUCAAGGGAUUAAGCUAAUAAAGGUAAAAUUUUGUGAUUUUAUCUUGUGAUUUACACUACCCAUGCUUUCUUUUUCAUUUUUCAUGCUUAGAACUCAAGUUUUCAUGAUGAACCCAUGCUGGCCGAAUUUGAGAGGAGAGGUUUUGAACAUUGAUUUUGCUAGAUUUCAAGCUAAUUAAGUGUUUUUGGUUGUUUGGUAAUGGAAAGUAUGAAAAUCUAGCAAGGAAUCACUUUGUUCUUCACAAACCCACAAGAGGCCGAAUUUUCUAGAGAUGAUAUUAAGGUUGAAAUUGAUGAUAUUUCAUGAUAUUUUGGUGGUAUUUAAUGAUUGGUGAGGUUAGAAAUUUAAUGGGAAAUUUUGGCAUGAAAAUCUGAAUUUUUACCUAAUGUAUAUACAUGUGCGAUUUAUGGUUCGAACUGAUAAAUUGAAUCAUAUUCACAGUCAUUGAGGUAUUUUAAGUAUAAUUGAAGUGUAAAAAGUGAAAGAAAUUGAUUUGGAGUUAAAUUGGAGGUUUUAGCCAAUUACACCGAGAAUAGUGCAAAUUAGGUCGAAUACCGUAUUUAAACAGCUAUUCGGACAUUUUGCAUCACAUUUUGUGCAUUCAUAUAGAUUUAUAGAGCCUGAAAUAGUUUAUGAUAAAUUGAUACAAUUUAUUGAAAUUCGUGUCAUGUAUGAUGUAUAGGUGGUGAACCCUUUAACAAAGGUAAAGAGAUUGUGCUCGAAGAUCGAGAAUAGGAGUAUAUCAAACUCCUAAUAUUGUGAGUAACCUUAUUAUCAUCUUAAUUAUCUAAAAUAGUUUUUAUUCGUUUUUGUGAUUUUAUGAAAAAUGAGUUUAAAUGGCAAAUCCUUAUGUUUAUAAGCAAAAUGUGAUUAAAUGGGAUGAUCUUGUAAAAUUAUCUUGAAAUUGAAUAAUGGCUUUUCAAAUAGAGCAAUUGGAGACCAUUUGAUGUAUUGUGAAUUUAUGGUUCUAAUUGAUUGGCUUAUGACAAUAUUGGUAUGAAUGGCUGAAUUGGUAUUUGUGUUGAAAUGUAUAAAUUGUUGUUUUCCUUUAUAGACUGGAUAAUGAUAAAAUUGCCAUGUCAUGCUAUUACAAAUUUUAUUGUAUGGUGGGUUUAGCUUGCUGCAGUGGGUUGGUUAUGUGGACUAGCCUAUUAGAGGGGCACAGAACCUGGUCAUAUUCUUAUCUCGGUUGGAGAGGCGAGUAGGGUAACUCCCCAGGUAUAACUUUUAGAGUUCACUUCACGCCAAACCACCACGUGAGGGCGAACUCAGCCAACGUCAAGGAACUACUAUAUUUUCAAAAUAAAAACAUGAUUUAUGAGUACAUAACUUUUUAAUAGCCUUGGCGGACUCAGUUUGGGAUAGCCCGCGGCCAAGGUAUCCCUGAUAACUGGGUAUGAGAAUGAUUUUGGCAUGAGCCAAAGUUUUAAGAAAUUCAUAAGCCAUGUUGAUUACUCGAUUUAUAUGAAUUGAUUUUAUUUGGUUGAAACAAGUUGAGAGGUGAUGAAUUUUCGUAUGUUAAACUAUUUUAUCUGUCUCCAUUUACUCGGCUUUAGAUAUUUUAGAUAGUAUUUGUUUACUCACUGGGAUUAUAUAAUCUCACCACCCUCUUUUUCACCAAUUUCAGGUUCAUAAUAGAUUGUAGAUAACUGAUAUCAUCGAGGACUACAGUUGGACUUGCCACAUCCAAAAAUUUUAGGUUCAUUUCUUUUAAUACUUUUGGUUGUUCGUGGGCUCACUUGUUACAGUAAAUUAAAUUAAACACUCUAGCUGACUGUAUUACAAUAUAUAUUAAUUUAUUUUGCUUUUACGCUGUAAAAAUUAU